rnacentral:lncRNA from 13 species
UAAGAAGUCUUUAUAGUCUUUAUGAAGCCUUAAGAAGUCUUUAUAGUCUUUAUGAAGCCUUAAGAAGUCUUUAUGAAGCGUUAUGAAGAACGCGAUCAGAGAUCCUUGAUAGCCCCGUGUCAAAUCAUCCAAUACCUCACACAUCCAAAUUAGAGGCUUCUCCUGUUCCUCUGUCUUCUUCUGAUUGACAAUUCAAAUCUCAGGUCUUAUUUGAGCAGCAAGAAAAGAUGCUGGAACAACUGAACAGUUCCCGAACAGUUCCCGAACAGCUCCCGAACAGUUCCCGAACAGCUACCGAACAGUUCCCGAACAGCUACCGAACAGUUCCCGAACAGCUCCCGAACAGUUCCCGAACAGUUCCCGAACAGCUCAGUUGGUAGAGCAUGGUGCUUGUACCCCAGGGUUGUAGGUUCGAUUCCCGGGGCAGCCCAGACGUAAAAUGUACGCACGCAUGACUGUAAAUCACUUU